rnacentral:misc_RNA from 1 species
GAUGAAGAACGCAGCGAAAUGCGAUAAGUAAUGUGAAUUGCAGAAUUCAGUGAAUCAUCGAAUCUUUGAACGCACAUUGCGCUCUCUGGUAUUCCGGGGGGCAUGCCUGUUCGAGCGUCAUUACAACCCUCAAGCUUUGCUUGGUAUUGGACAUUGCCAGUUUCUGGCAGGUCUUAAAAUCAGUGGCGGUGCCAUUUGGCUUCAAGCGUAGUAAUUCUUCUCGCUUUGGAGAUCCAGGUGGUUACUUGCCAAUAACCCCCAAUUUUUUCAGGUUGACCUCGGAUCAGGUAGGGAUACCCGCUGAACUUAAGCAUAUCAAUAAGCGGAGGA